GAUUCCUGAGUUACAAGUGCAAUUUUACCGUAAUCUCCCCCCAAUACACAAACUCCAUACCCGUCUUUCUCCUUCUAAUCCCUAACCCCCACCACCCUCCGCCACCUCCACCACCAACCGCCACCUCUACCACUACUUUUAGCUGUAAUUGAUCUUCUCAACGCGCUCCGUUCCCAUGGGUGAGCAGACCCACAUCCAAAUUGAAACCCUACCUAAACCGGAAUCCCAAUCCCAGCCUCUACUGGAAACCCCCAAAACGCAGCAAGAUUGCCAACCCCAAUCUUCUUUGGACAAAUCGGCGCCCAGUUCCGACUCCAGUGCACGGAUUUCUCAUCCUCAACCUGUCUCUUUGGCUGAGUCGUCCCAUGCCACCGCCACUGAGAUCUCCCAUAAUCCGCAGAACCCUUCCAAAAUUCCAAUUCGACCCCAAAAAAUCCGUAAACUUUCCACCUCUAUCCCAGAUAAACCAUCUACGCCUCAAACCACUGCCGAUGAUUCCUCCGUCUCCGCCUCUUCUUCCUUGGCUCUCACCACCACCACUGCCUCUACCACCACGGCCAUGACUCCUGUCACGCCCACUACAACGCAUUCCGCCAAGAAUCGGCGGCGUAGCGCCUCCCAAGCUUCUAGAGUUCUGCCCCAAGUUAUCAAACCCUUGUCCGCUGAUGGCGAAAUUGAAUUAGCCAUCCGCCACCUCCGAGCUGCUGAUGCUUUGCUGGGCCCACUAAUUGACACUCACCCGCCGCCUCAGUUCGAGUUCCACCAUAACCCAUUUCACGCCCUCACCAAGAGCAUUCUCUACCAGCAGCUUGCCUAUAAAGCUGGCACUUCCAUUUAUACACGCUUUGUCUCCCUCUGUGGUGGGGAGGAGUCCAUCAGUCCUGACUCCGUCCUUGCUCUCUCUCCCCAGCAGCUUAAGCAAAUUGGGGUUUCUGGCCGCAAGGCCAGCUAUUUGUAUGACCUGGCGAAUAAGUAUAAAUCGGGGAUUUUAUCAGAUGAUACAGUUGUGAAAAUGGAUGAUAGGUCAUUAUUCACAAUGCUUUCCAUGGUGAAGGGGAUAGGUUCCUGGUCGGUCCAUAUGUUCAUGAUAUUCUCGCUGCACAGACCGGAUGUUUUGCCUGUGAGUGACUUGGGGGUUAGGAAAGGGGUGCAGUUGUUGUAUGGUUUGGAGGAGUUGCCGAGGCCUUCACAGAUGGAACAGUUGUGUGAGAAGUGGAAGCCUUACAGGUCAGUUGGGGCGUGGUACAUGUGGCGGUUUGUCGAAGGGAAGGGUGCCCCGACAUCCAACUCUGGAGGGGUUCUUGAUGGUAGUGUUGUGCAGCCGUUGCAGCAAAUAGAGCCACAGCAGGAUGGGCAUCAGCAUCAGCAUCAGCUGCAGUUUGUGGAACCAGUUAAUGGAAUUGGCAACAUUGGGUUAUGAUGAUCGAUUAUCAGAAAAGAUGUCAUGACAUCCCCAGAAAUUCAAGACAAUUUUGAUCCUCGGAAGACAUAAAUCAUCCAUACUGAGGGCAUGCAUUUGGAACCAGUGAUAAGGAAACACUGCUGCCGACUUAAUGAUUGGAGAUUUCUUUGCUUCAUCUUCCUGAUCUGUGCUCAUUUAACAAUUCCGGCAUGUCAAGGAAAGAAUUUCCAUGAAUCCUGCCAGAUUUCCAGCAUCCCCAAUGUUACUCUUGUAAGCUAGCUCCUGCUAUGUUAAUUCUAGUGAUAAAUAUCUAGCUCUUUUAUGCUCAAGUUAAUAGACUUUGUUUAGAAUGAACUAGUGGAAGCUAGGAAUCCCGGGAGGACUUGAAUUGAGAUCAAUCUGGGAAUUGAUAGUUAGAAAUCUAGCAUAUGUAGCAUUUUCUGUUUUACCAAUUGUUCACAAGUCUUAUUUUAAGCGGUAUGCAUAUGUACAAGAGGUGGUUGAACGUCAAAGUAUUUCCUCAGAUUUGUGAGUAUGGUGUUUCCUGCUAAUAAUUUGAUUAUUUCUUCUUUGAACUGCA